rnacentral:tRNA from 1 species
GGUGGAUUAGCUCAGCUGGGAGAGCACCUCCCAUUACAAGGAGGGGGUCGGCGGUUCGAUCCCAGUCUAUCGCCCACCA